rnacentral:rRNA from 1 species
UUGACCUCAAAUCAGGUAGGACUACCCGCUGAACUUAAGCAUAUCAAUAAGCGGAGGAAAAGAAACUAACAAGGAUUCCCCUAGUAACUGCGAGUGAAGCGGGAAAAGCUCAAAUUUGAAAUCUGGCAGUCUUUUUUUUCUUCUUUGGCUGUCCGAAUUGUAAUCUAGAGAAGUGCUUACCUGCACUG